UACGUAGGGGGCAAGCGUUGUCCGGAAUCAUUGGGCGUAAAGCGCGUGUAGGCGGUUCGGUAAGUCUGCUGUGAAAGUCCAGGGCUCAACCCCUGGGAUGCCGGUGGAUACUGUCGGACUAGAGUACGGAAGAGGCGAGUGGAAUUCCCGGUGUAGCGGUGAAAUGCGCAGAUAUCGGGAAGAACACCCGUGGCGGAAGGCGGCUCUCUGGGACGGUACUGACGCUGAGACGCGAAAGCGUGGGGAGCGAACAGG
rnacentral:rRNA from 1 species